CUGCCCACAGCUCACCCCAUCUCCUCUGUCCCCAGGCACUCCGAGGGAGAGGAAGAGACCGGGAGAGAGGCUGGCUCUGACCCUCACACCACGUAACAGCUCUCUGGGGAUUUAUUGGUUUUCCUGCCUAUUGAUGAGACUGUGAAGUCUCAAGAGAAGUGUCUUGCUCUGGAGAAAGGAAAUUAAACCUGGAAUGACUGGAUUGGAAGGGAAAACUCCAUUUUUGCAUUACUUUCAAUAGCGUAUCAGUUCCCAGCUCUCCUGCUCUCUGCAGUCAGCACUGAGCACAUCCCAGCCUCAGCACCUGCUGAAACCCUCGGCAAAACAACCCACGACAGCAACAAACCCACAGCACCCAGCUGCCUUCCCACAGCUCAGGGAGGACCAGGCUCUGGGCUGAAGCUGGGGCAGGAAGGAAAUUUGCCUUUCUGAGGCUGAGCCCUGGGCCAUGGCCAGCAGCCCCAGCUGAGAGCACGGAGCAAUCGGGGGUCCUGCUCCCCGCCAUGGGGUUCUCACGUGCUCUGCAGCUUUCCCAUGGAUAUAAAUCCAUUAAUAAAAGAUCAGUUUGCAGGCACAGCUCGCUGUAGAUGACAGCAUUAGAGGCACAUCAGCGUCUCCUAAGCACCAGUCUUGUGCUGGGUUUAUUUGGUCCAUUGUGGCAGGGGAAGAGUUGCUUUCGGCAUUCAGAGAUGUCUUGUGUCUGGAAGAAGUAGUGGGGUGAGAUAUAUUUUUGGCUCUAUUUAGCCACAAAAAUUUGGGUUUAGAAUAAAGAGAAAUAUUCCUGUUUGCUGCCAAACUGAGGCAGACAAUUUCUUG